UACGUAGGGGGCAAGCGUUGUCCGGAAUCAUUGGGCGUAAAGCGCGUGUAGGCGGUUCAGUAAGUCUGCUGUGAAAGUCCAGGGCUCAACCCUGGGAUGCCGGUGGAUACUGCUGGACUAGAGUGCGGAAGAGGCGAGUGGAAUUCCCGGUGUAGCGGUGAAAUGCGCAGAUAUCGGGAGGAACACCAAUUGCGAAGGCAGCUCGCUGGGACGUUACUGACGCUGAGACGCGAAAGCGUGGGGAGCAAACAGGAUUAGAUACCACGAGUC
rnacentral:rRNA from 1 species